rnacentral:rRNA from 1 species
GUGCCAGCAGCCGCGGUAAUACGUAGGGGGCAAGCGUUGUCCGGAAUUAUUGGGCGUAAAGCGCGCGCAGGCGGCUCUUUAAGUCUGGUGUUUAAUCCCGAGGCUCAACUUCGGGUCGCACUGGAAACUGGGGAGCUUGAGUGCAGAAGAGGAGAGUGGAAUUCCACGUGUAGCGGUGAAAUGCGUAGAUAUGUGGAGGAACACCAGUGGCGAAGGCGACUCUCUGGGCUGUAACUGACGCUGAGGCGCGAAAGCGUGGGGAGCAAACAGGAUUAGAUACCCCCGUAGUCC